GAUGAACGCUGGCGGCGUGCCUAAUACAUGCAAGUCGAGCGAACAGAUGAGGAGCUUGCUCCUCUGACGUUAGCGGCGGACGGGUGAGUAACACGUGGAUAACCUACCUAUAAGACUGGGAUAACUUCGGGAAACCGGAGCUAAUACCGGAUAAUAUAUUGAACCGCGUGGUUCAAUAGUGAAAGGCGGUUUUGCUGUCACUUAUAGAUGGAUCCGCGCCGCAUUAGCUAGUUGGUAAGGUAACGGCUUACCAAGGCAACGAUGCGUAGCCGACCUGAGAGGGUGAUCGGCCUCACUGGAACUGAGACACGGUCCAGACUCCUACGGGAGGCAGCAGUAGGGAAUCGUCCGCAAUGGGCGAAAGCCUGACGGAGCAACGCCGCGUGAGUGAUGAAGGUCUUCGGAUCGUAAAACUCUGUUAUUAGGGAAGAACAAAUGUGUAAGUAACUAUGCACGUCUUGACGGUACCUAAUCAGAAAGCCACGGCUAACUACGUG
rnacentral:rRNA from 1 species